UAGAUCAAGUGAGCGAAAAAGCAAGGGAGUUGGAAAGGUUUUCCAUUAACGGUGGUAUCAAGUCAGCAACUAUCGAAUUUGAAUUCAAGUAUGCUUAUGGUUUUCUUUCAGAUUGUCAGUUUGCUCCACGAACAACUCCUGGCCCUCAAUUCAGUGAUGACGAUUUGAUUCUUCAUCAGUUUAUCAUUUGGAGAUAAACAAAACUGAAUUGGAUAAACAAUCUGUGUUCAACAUAACAUAUCCCUACUGCUUUAACUUUUCAAUCUUCAGGUGAGAGGAGCUACUUUGCUAAUCAAAUCAAAGCCAUCAAUAGGUUGAAGGCCAAACUUUAUAGUCGUACCAAACUAGCAAGGAGUUCCAGGCGUCGGUAGAAUCAAAGCAAACACCAGCAUGGAAGUCUGGCAGGAGACUCAAAGGUACAUGUUUCACCCGGCAAGUUAGCACGAGAUGUAAAAACAGGCCUGAAUUGCAAUUAUGUAACGUCUAAACCUGAUUUGUUACAAUUGUGUAACAUCUACACCGGGUUCAGAUGUUACAUUUACUGUCUAAACUCGCAUUGCUUGCUUGUACUCCCUACAAUCAAAACAUAAUUUUCUGAAAAUAUAAACCCGAGCUACACUUCCCACCUUUCUGUUUAUGAACACAAAUGACCAUCAGGUUGAUGGCGGAUGGCAUAGCUGUCAUUUCUGUUAAAUAUAAUGUCCUUUUGCCAAUAUAGACCAACUUUCUCAA